GGAGUGUUAGUUAAACGGAUAUAACUUGCGGCUACGGACCGCACAUUGUGGGUUCGAUUCCUACACACUCUGCCA
rnacentral:tRNA from 2 species